UAUGGAGAGUUUGAUCCUGGCUCAGGAUGAACGCUGGCGGCGUGCCUAAUACAUGCAAGUCGAGCGAACGGACGAGAAGCUUGCUUCUCUGAUGUUAGCGGCGGACGGGUGAGUAACACGUGGAUAACCUACCUAUAAGACUGGGAUAACUUGGGGAAACCGGAGCUAAUACCGGAUAAUAUUUUGAACCGCAUGGUUCAAAAGUGAAAGACGGUCUUGCUGUCACUUAUAGAUGGAUCCGCGCUGCAUUAGCUAGUUGGUAAGGUAACGGCUUACCAAGGCAACGAUGCAUAGCCGACCUGAGAGGGUGAUCGGCCACACUGGAACUGAGACACGGUCCAGACUCCUACGGGAGGCAGCAGUAGGGAAUCUUCCGCAAUGGGCGAAAGCCUGACGGAGCAACGCCGCGUGAGUGAUGAAGGUCUUCGGAUCGUAAAACUCUGUUAUUAGGGAAGAACAUAUGUGUAAGUAACUGUGCACAUCUUGACGGUACCUAAUCAGAAAGCCACGGCUAACUACGUGCCAGCAGCCGCGGUAAUACGUAGGUGGCAAGCGUUAUCCGGAAUUAUUGGGCGUAAAGCGCGCGUAGGCGGUUUUUUAAGUCUGAUGUGAAAGCCCACGGCUCAACCGUGGAGGGUCAUUGGAAACUGGAAAACUUGAGUGCAGAAGAGGAAAGUGGAAUUCCAUGUGUAGCGGUGAAAUGCGCAGAGAUAUGGAGGAACACCAGUGGCGAAGGCGACUUUCUGGUCUGUAACUGACGCUGAUGUGCGAAAGCGUGGGGAUCAAACAGGAUUAGAUACCCUGGUAGUCCACGCCGUAAACGAUGAGUGCUAAGUGUUAGGGGGUUUCCGCCCCUUAGUGCUGCAGCUAACGCAUUAAGCACUCCGCCUGGGGAGUACGACCGCAAGGUUGAAACUCAAAGGAAUUGACGGGGACCCGCACAAGCGGUGGAGCAUGUGGUUUAAUUCGAAGCAACGCGAAGAACCUUACCAAAUCUUGACAUCCUUUGACAACUCUAGAGAUAGAGCCUUCCCCUUCGGGGGACAAAGUGACAGGUGGUGCAUGGUUGUCGUCAGCUCGUGUCGUGAGAUGUUGGGUUAAGUCCCGCAACGAGCGCAACCCUUAAGCUUAGUUGCCAUCAUUAAGUUGGGCACUCUAAGUUGACUGCCGGUGACAAACCGGAGGAAGGUGGGGAUGACGUCAAAUCAUCAUGCCCCUUAUGAUUUGGGCUACACACGUGCUACAAUGGACAAUACAAAGGGCAGCGAAACCGCGAGGUCAAGCAAAUCCCAUAAAGUUGUUCUCAGUUCGGAUUGUAGUCUGCAACUCGACUACAUGAAGCUGGAAUCGCUAGUAAUCGUAGAUCAGCAUGCUACGGUGAAUACGUUCCCGGGUCUUGUACACACCGCCCGUCACACCACGAGAGUUUGUAACACCCGAAGCCGGUGGAGUAACCUUUUAGGAGCUAGCCGUCGAAGGUGGGACAAAUGAUUGGGGUGAAGUCGUAACAAGGUAGCCGUAUCGGAAGGUGCGGCUGGAUCACCUCCUU
rnacentral:rRNA from 1 species